rnacentral:tRNA from 1 species
AUAGCUCAAUGGUAGAGCAUUUGCCUAGCAAGUGUAAGGCCCUGGGUUCAAUCCCCAGU